rnacentral:tRNA from 1 species
GCAGGAAAUAGUUUAG